AUCCAGCCGACGAGUCCGAAAUGGGACGAAACGCGCCUUGUCCUGGAU
rnacentral:hammerhead_ribozyme from 1 species